GAGUGUAGUAUGAGAUCUCACCACCAGAGUGCAGCAUGGAGCAUGAAAAACUGCAGCAGGCUGCAACUUUUACUGCAGCCACACGAUGGCAGCAGUGAGCACUUGCACCUGUUGUACACCUGUUCAGACAGGUUAAGAAGUGGUUUUCUUUUCAUCGACUUGUUGCAUAAUUUAAAACAUAUGUAGAUGACAAUACAAGACUUUGACCUUUUGUGUUUACGCCGCAGGGUGACCCUGGGCCUCCUGGUCUUCCUGGUGAUCCAGGCUACCCAGGACCUCCCGUAAGUAUCUACUUCCACCUAAACCACCUGUGCCCCACAUCACACAUUAAGGCUGUGUAAGGUGACAAAACAUUUAGAGUUUGUAGCCUUUUGUAUUAAACUUCAUCAGUGUUAUUAUUGAUGAUGCACGAAUCUGGUGACCUUAAGUGGCCAUGGUGGUUAAAAUAAUGUUGAUGUUGUUCCAGGGUCCCUCUGGUGGACAGAAAGGAGAAAAAGGAGAACUAGGGGAAGCAGGCAAGAGAGGCAAACCUGGAAAAGAUGGCGAUCCUGGUCCUCCAGGGUUCCCUGUGAGUACUGUGAACAAACAAUUGACAAAUUAUGUUGUCAAACAUCUCUUAUUUAAGUUUUCCUUCUUUUUGUCACUAUCAGGGAAACAAAGGAGACCCAGGUCUGCCAGGGUCUCCAGGCAGAGACGGAGAGAGAGGACUGAAAGGUGAACGUGGAUACCCAGGUCCUCCAGGAGUGGUGAUCGGCGGGCAGAAUGGUGGUCGUGUUGGUCCUAAAGGUGAGCCUGGUUUCCCUGGAUCACCUGGAAUCAAAGGAGACAGAGGACAACCAGGUAAACACCUAACAUGUGCAUUUAGCUUCUUUUUCACUCCAGCAGUACCAUUCACACAUAUUGUUAGCUAGCUAAAGUUUUACAGAAUAGUGUUAUUUUUUAUAUCUUAUUAAGUUUUUAUGUUCUGUUUAAUGUUUAGUUUUAACUUCUUUAUCUGAAAGGAGUGGCACAUUGUCUAAUUGGUGAAAACAACGCAACAAAUGUAACAAGCUAACAAUGAGUCUAUAGCUCUGUUAAACUUGGCAGACUAGUUUCUGUCAGGAUUUCUUUUCUCUCCUGUUAGCUGGUCGGUUGUCUGUUGGUUGGUCGGUUGCCAUUUUUAUUCUGUGCAGAUGUA
ensembl:lncRNA